AGAUUGAACGCUGGCGGCAUGCUUUACACAUGCAAGUCGAACGGGGUGGAGGGGCAACUCUUCAUUCAGUGGCGAACGGGUGAGUAAUGCAUCGGAACGUGUCCCGUAGUGGGGGAUAACGCCGCGAAAGCGGCGCUAAUACCGCAUACGCUCUACGGAGGAAAGCCGGGGACCUGCAAGGGCCUGGUGUUAUGGGAGCGGCCGAUGUCCGAUUAGGUUGUUGGUGGGGUAACGGCCUACCAAGCCUGCGAUCGGUAGCUGGUCUGAGAGGAUGAUCAGCCACACUGGGACUGAGACACGGCCCAGACUCCUACGGGAGGCAGCAGUGGGGAAUUUUGGACAAUGGGGGCAACCCUGAUCCAGCCAUGCCGCGUGCGGAGAAGGCCUCGGUGUAACGCUUUAGUCGGAGAAAGGCCGCUCCUAACAGGGUGGUUAUUGACGGUACCGGCGGAAUAAGCACCGGCUAACUACGUGCCAGCAGCCGCGGU
rnacentral:rRNA from 1 species